CCUUUGGAGUUCCUUAGGAAUCCAUAGUCCAGUGGUUUUAACAAAGCAUUUCAAAUGUGGUUAUCAAAAUUAUACCAGAGGGUUGAUUAAUUAGCAUAAGGGAUGUUUGAAAUAAGUUUUCACUGGUGAAGUAAAUAAUGUUCACAACAUGUGGACAGCUAGGACUUCCCCAAGCUUACAAACUGUUUUGUGCAGCCUUGCCAAUGAGCAUGGCUGGCUGGCAGAAUUGCCCAAGACCUGCUUUCAUUGGAGCAUCUUGAUGGUGAGGUUUGGAGGAGGAGUCUAUGGCCCCUAAUUUCCAGACGCUGCCUGUAUUUGUCAAAAGAACCAGACAUUUGCUGAACUGUCUAAUUGGGUAGGUCAGAUCAUGCUACCCCCUCAAUUUGCAGGAAAGGAAACUGAGGCCCAGUGCUAAGAAUGGGGCAGGGGUAAGAGACCAGCACUUCUGGCUGGAGUUAACCUUUGGUGUCGUCCAUUCCAUGAAUUUGAACAAUGCAUGAUGACCUGUAUCCACCACUGUAGUAGUAUACAGAGUAGUUCCACUGCCCUAAAAUCCUCUGUGCUCUACCCAGUCAUGCCUCUCUCCCCUAACUCCUGACAACCACUGGUCCUUUGACAGUCUCCAUAGUUUUGCUUUCUCCAGAAUGUCACACAGUUGGAAUCAGAUACUAUACAGCCUUUUCAGACUGACUUCUUUCACUUAGUAAUAUGCAUUCAAGUUUCCUGUAUCUUUCCAUGGUCUGAUAAUCCAUUAAAACCCUUGAAAAGUUAUUUGAUUCAAUAGUCAUAAAAGUAAAGUACUCUAUCAUGUUAACAUCUCAAAGCACUUACCCUCAUUUUCUGAAUUUACUCAUGUCAGGGACCAGGGAAAAACAGGUCUGCAGCCCACACUGGAUUAGUGUUCACCUGGGUUCCCACUCUAGACGGCGUCUCCCAGUUUCAUUUGUCCUGUGUGAUAGGUCCUGGGGACACUGAUGAAGAGGACUGGGAGGUAACAGGUGGGGACCCCCUCUUCCCUCUGCACCCGUAUCUGUCUCUGAGGCUACCUGUGAGCUUAGGCCCGUCCUCACAGCGAGACCCACGGUGUGAAGAUCCAAGGCUUUGGCGAGUCGCUCAGGAUUAGGAAGAACUGGCAGAGGAAGGAGGGGGCUGCAGCCAGGCCUCCACCCAGUGGGAGUGGAAUUCUGGAAGCAGAACAAAGGGGCCCAUUUCCACCUCCCCCCAGGCUGCUGUAGGAUGCAGAGGAGGACAGUGGGGCAGGGAGGGAAG
rnacentral:lncRNA from 10 species